rnacentral:rRNA from 1 species
CCUACGGGUGGCUGCAGUGGGGAAUAUUGGACAAUGGGCGAAAGCCUGAUCCAGCCAUGCCGCGUGUGUGAAGAAGGCCUUCGGGUUGUAAAGCACUUUCAGUGGGGAAGAAAGCCUUGGGGCUAAUACCCUCGAGGAAGGACAUCACCCACAGAAGAAGCACCGGCUAACUCCGUGCCAGCAGCCGCGGUAAUACGGAGGGUGCGAGCGUUAAUCGGAAUUACUGGGCGUAAAGCGCGCGUAGGCGGUCUGAUAAGCCGGUUGUGAAAGCCCCGGGCUCAACCUGGGAACGGCAUCCGGAACUGUCAGGCUAGAGUGCAGGAGAGGAAGGUAGAAUUCCCGGUGUAGCGGUGAAAUGCGUAGAGAUCUGGAGGAAUACCAGUGGCGAAGGCGGCCUUCUGGACUGACACUGACGCUGAGGUGCGAAAGCGUGGGUAGCAAACAGGAUUAGAUACCCCGGUAGUC